rnacentral:rRNA from 1 species
AUUGAACGCUGGCGGCAGGCCUAACACAUGCAAGUCGAGCGAGCGGCGGACGGGUGAGUAAUGUCUGGGAAACUGCCUGAUGGAGGGGGAUAACUACUGGAAACGGUAGCUAAUAUCGCAUACCAUCAGAUGUGCCCAGAUGGGAUUAGCUAGUAGGUGGGGUAACGGCUCACCAAGGCGACGAUCCCUAGCUGGUCUGAGAGGAUGACCAGCCACACUGUAACUGAGAAACGGUCCAGAAUCCUACGGGAGGCAGCAGUGGGGAAUAUUGAACAAUGGGCGCAAGCCUGAUGCAGCCAUGCCGCGUGUAUGAAGAAGGCCUUCGGGUUGUAAAGUACUUUCAGCGGGGAGGCGUUACCCGCAGAAGAAGCACCGGCUAACUCCGUGCCAGCAGCCGCGGUAAUAC